rnacentral:lncRNA from 1 species
AAGCAAGUAUAGAAGUAUUAUUUGUGCAAAUUAUUUGUCAUUAUCAAAAAGGGGAGAUUGAUAGGUUCAAGUUAAUUAAAGUAAAGUUUAAAUAAUGGCAAAAUCACUUUGCAGGUAAACAAAGGAGUAGGUUGAAUGCCAGAAAGGAAUGAAUAUCAAGCAAAAGAAUUGAAUCAAUGUACAAGUGAUUUAAUCUGCUAUGCACAAAUCAGGACGAAGAUUAGAUCAUCUACAAGGGAAGAAAAUCAUAAGCUUAAAGUUGGAGUGCCCACUAGGAAAGAAAAUCAAGACAAGCAAAGGAAAGGAUUGAAGACCUCCUCUAAUCAAGGACCAGACCAAGGAAAUGACGGACUGCGGAAUGAAAGGAGCAAGAUAGAAGAUCGACCUCAUGUUUGGAAAGAAAUAAAUCAAGAAGAAAGAAGAUCGGUAGAAUGAUAGACCACAAUAUGGACAUGUACUAUCAUUCAUACUCAAUCAAGGAAAGAAACUCCUUUGAGUUUUCCUUCAGAGCAUAAAGAACCUCACUACAAGGAUCUAUAAGAAGUUUGUUCCUUUCGAAAAUGAAAACUACGCACUUCACUUGAACUUGUACUACAUCUUCUUUCUUUCAUCUUUCAUACUACUCUAUAACCUUGCAAAGCCUACAAUUAUAAAAGAAGAGAGUUGUGUUGGUUAUACAGGUAAAGAUUGUAUCAAUUUAGGAUAUAUCCGACUCAGGUUAGAUAUAGUAGAUAUCAAAAUCAUCUGUACUCACAAGUUCAACAAAAGGCUCUAAAGAAAACCCUAGUAACCCAAAGGAAUUGGUUUAGGUAUCACAUCUGUGAUCCAAACCAGUAUGAAAACAACUUGUCUCAAUUUAUGUUCACACUCAAUUAAUCUUCCCUCUCC